AUCGCUUCUCGGCCUUUAGGCUAAGAUCAAGUGUAGUUAUCUGUUCUUAUCAGUUUAAUAAAAAUAUUAGCUCAAGGGCUAUAAAUGCUUUAUGUGUUCUUAAGAGACUAGCCAGUUGAACACAAAGUCUUAAUUAUUGCAAUGUAUUUGGAGCUCGUGGUGAAAUGAUAUCAAUACCUGAUUCUACCCAGCGCCCAUC
ensembl:snRNA U2 U2 spliceosomal RNA